rnacentral:misc_RNA from 1 species
GUAGGUGAACCUGCGGAAGGAUCAUUAUUGAAUUAUAAGGCUCCGAUUGUGCUGGCCUCUCGGGGCAUGUGCACGUCUCUGCCCGUUAAUCCCAACCCACCCCUGUGAACCAACCGUGUGUGAGGCGCUCUGUAACGGAGCUGUCUCAUGCUUUAUUAUAAACCCCGUAUGUCAUCAGAAUGUAAAUCUAUAUCCUCGCCUUAAAACCGCGUCGGUAAAAAAAAAUUAAUACAACUUUCAACAACGGAUCUCUUAGUUCUG